UUACGGCCACAUCACGUUGAAACACCGGUACUAGUAUGAUCACCGAAGUUAAGCAACGUCGAGCCUGGUCAGUAACUCGGGAGUGACUGCUUGGGAAUACCCGGUGAUG